rnacentral:lncRNA from 1 species
AUUUACUGUUGUAUUUCAUGAUCUUAAAUUUAAAAACUGAUUCAAUUUCAGAUUUCUAGAAAUAAAAAAUAAAUUGCUUUUUCAAUUAUUUAACUUAAUUUAAGAACAAGUAUACACAUUCAUGUGAUUCCAAAUAGAAAAGGUAAAAGAGGUUAAAAUUAUCUUUUCUACUCCUUCUGUUAGCCAGUAGCAACUAAAGCUCCUAAUUUCUCAUGAAUACUUCCAGACAUACUUUAUAUACUUAGUAGUUAAAUAUGUGUAGAUAGAUAGAUUAAUAGCCCUUGUUUUUCCCUGUUUUUACACAAAUGAUAGCAUACUUUACAAAAGCACCUUAUACUUUUUUUUAACAGUUACAUAUCUUGGCAAUUAUUCUAUAUGAGUACAGAAAGAAAUUUUUCCUUUUUUUAUGACCACAGAGUAUUACAUUGUAUAGACAGUCCAUAAUUGAUUUAAUCACACCAGUACAGAUAGGCAGUAAAAAUGCUUCUAAUUGCAUGCUAUUACAAACAAUUCUGCCUACCAUGAAUAGCCUUGCAAAGACGUCAUUUGGGGCAAUACUCUAAAGGAUAAAUUCGUAGCAUAGAUCAAAGGAUAUGUACACUUUAAAGUUCAAUGAAUAUUAC